rnacentral:misc_RNA from 1 species
UUGUGGAGGAGGACGCCGAAGGUGGGGCUGAUGACUGGGUGAAGUCGUAACAAGGUAGCCGUACCGGAAGGCGCGGCUGGAUCACCUCCUAACAGGGAGACAACAACUGAUCGUGAUGGCUGAGCUAUUUACUUCUUAGUCCACGAUCCUGUCACCUUAGGUCGAUCGGUACCUCAACUUAAAAACCAAAUACAAGCUGAGAAAUUAGUUUUAGAUUGGCAAUUGAGUUCAGUUCCUAAACUUGUCUAGGUCACACCCAACAAGGGUUCCUGGGCCAUUAGCUCAGGUGGUUAGAGCGCACCCCUGAUAAGGGUGAGGUCCCUGGUUCAAGUCCAGGAUGGCCCAUUCGGUGUUGGGGGUAUAGCUCAGUUGGUAGAGCGCCUGCUUUGCAAGCAGGAUGUCAGCGGUUCGAGUCCGCUUACCUCCACUGAUCCAUCCCUUGACAAAGAAAGCAAGGAAAUCCUUGUUAGUUGUUUGAUUUAGACUUUAGUUUUUCUGAAUGAACCUAGCUUCCUAUCAUCCCUAUCUAUAAAAAUUUAGGUUGAAAGGAUGCUGGGCUCUCUACAUUUAUUUUAGAUGUAGUAGUAGUUCAGUAGAACCUUGAAAACUGCAUAGGUGAGUCUGGAAAGAAUAAAGCAUCUCAUGGAUGAAAUAUUCUUUUUGAUUAUCAACGAUCAACUAAUUUAAAUUAGUUGAUUCGAGGUGAUUUUUAUAAAGAAUAUUCCUUAAUUCUUGAGUAAGAGCCGAGACUCUAUGGGUUACUUUUGAUCUAUAGAGUAUGAAAUGGUCAAGCUACAA